GGGCUUGUACUGGUUUCGACGGGGAUCAUGCAGUCGGUGAAGCUAUCCGCAGGAUGAUGCGUUAAAUCUCAAAACCUAAAUAUAAACGCUAACGAUAAUCGUUACGCUCUUGCAGCCUAAGCGCUGCUUGUGUCCGGCCUGAUUUACCUGUCCGUCGGGAUCCCGGGCAUCGAUCUGACAGGAAACGACAUAUACAAAGCUUUGAGUAUAUGGGCGUAUGAUGAAGCUUAGUUUUUCUCUCGGAAUGUCGGCUUUCCUUUAGAAAAAUGAAUUAAAAUCAACCGAAUAUGAUAGUAGAAGAACGAGGAAUUGGUUUUCGGACAGGGGUUCGAUUCCCCUCAGGUCCACUU
rnacentral:tmRNA from 1 species